rnacentral:misc_RNA from 1 species
GAUGAAGAACGCAGUGAAAUGCGAUACGUAAUGUGAAUUGCAGAAUUCAGUGAAUCAUCGAGUCUUUGAACGCACAUUGCGCCCUCUGGUAUUCCGGAGGGCAUGCCUGUCCGAGCGUCAUUGCUGCCCUCAAGCACGGCUUGUGUGUUGGGCCCCGCCCCCCGAUCCCGGGGGGCGGGCCCGAAAGGCAGCGGCGGCACCGCGUCCGGUCCUCGAGCGUAUGGGGCUUUGUCACCCGCUCUGUAGGCCCGGCCGGCGCUUGCCGAUCAACCAAACUUUUUUCCAGGUUGACCUCGGAUCAGGUAGGGAUACCCGCUGAACUUAAGCAUAUCAAUAAGCGGAGGA